UACCAGCACCCCGAGUGGUCGGGACGAUUAUUGGGCCUAAAGCAUCCGUAGCCGGUUCUACAAGUCUUCCGUUAAAUCCACCUGCUUAACAGAUGGGCUGCGGAGGAUACUAUAGAGCUAGGAGGCGGGAGAGGCAAGCGGUACUUAGUGGGUAGGGGUAAAAUCCGUUGAUCCAUUGAAGACCACCAGUGGCGAAGGCGGCUUGCCAGAAUGCACUCGACGGUGAGGGAUGAAAGCUGGGGGAGCAAACCGG
rnacentral:rRNA from 1 species